UACGUAGGGGGCAAGCGUUGUCCGGAAUCAUUGGGCGUAAAGCGCGUGUAGGCGGCCCAGUAAGUCCGCUCUGAAAGCCCGGGGCUUAACCCCGGGAGGCGGGUGGAUACUGCUGGGCUCGAGUCCGGAAGAGGCGAGUGGAAUUCCCGGUGUAGCGGUGAAAUGCGCAGAUAUCGGGAGGAACACCAAUGGCGAAGGCAGCUCGCUGGGACGUGGACUGACGCUGAGACGCGAAAGCGUGGGGAGCAA
rnacentral:rRNA from 1 species